rnacentral:rRNA from 1 species
AGAGUUUGAUCCUGGCUCAGGACGAACGCUGGCGGCGCGCCUAACACAUGCAAGUCGAACGAGAGAGAAGGAGCUUGCUUCUUCGAUCGAGUGGCGAACGGGUGAGUAACGCGUGAGGAACCUGCCUCAAANAGGGGGACAACAGUUGGAAACGACUGCUAAUACCGCAUAAGCCCACGGGUCGGCAUCGACCAGAGGGAAAAGGAGCAAUCCGCUUUGAGAUGGCCUCGCGUCCGAUUAGCUAGUUGGUGAGGUAACGGCCCACCAAGGCGACGAUCGGUAGCCGGACUGAGAGGUUGAACGGCCACAUUGGGACUGAGACACGGUCCAAACUCCUACGGGAGGCAGCA